CUGUUGAGCCAGAAAGACACCUGGGAGAGGAUGACUGUCAUGAUGCAGGGGCAAGGCAAUCACGAAAAGCUGAAAAUGUCCAGGCAGACAAGAAAACCAUUCAACCAAAACAACCAUGCCUUGACCCAUGUGACACAACUCAUCAUUCACUUGAAGGCUUGCUAUUCACCCAUCCAUGAGAUGAACGUCCCGCUCCAGUGAGCAGUGAGCUUUUUCCCAGACAUCCUGACGGAGAGAGACAACCUUGGCAGAAGACUUUAUGAUGAUUCUGUGGAAAGGAAAGUUUGCUAUCCAUGGCUUAGUGGUGUAUCUUAGGGUAAAGGAGGAGGAUCACUUCAAAGAGCAGUUGGAUUGUGGGGAUAUAACCAAUGAAAUGAUGAAGGUUGUCGUAACCAGAGGUGCCAUAAUGUCUGAUCCAGCCAGUGCAAGGAUCGUGAUUCAGGGAGCAGAAGUCCUGGAAGACCUGGACGUACCCAGAGCCUGUGCCUUGCUAAUGGGGCUGAUAUGAGUACUCAACCUCAGCUACCAAAAAGAACUGAAAAACGCUUUUGAAGUGUGUCAAAAGAUAUUCCUUGAGCUGGAUGGUCUGAAAGCCAGUCUGAAGGUAAUGUCUGUAAAAAAUAAACUGCAGUACUAAAAAAUGUGAAGAAUUAGGCUGUCUUCAAAUUCAACAGGAGAUGUUGCACUGUUAUAUAUUUGUAAAGUUUUGUUGUGCAACAUCCAGCAGUUGUAUUGUUGACAGUUGGCAGUAUACUGGGUACACCUAACUAAAACUAAUGUAGUUGAAUACAACAGCACUGCAAUAAAUCCUACAAGCAUGAAUGUUACAAUGGUCAGUGUUUUGAGACAGUUUUAUAGGGGUGUUAGUUUAACUUUAUGGUCAUUUUGGAGGCUGCAGUUUGCGAUGUUUAACUGUAUUGUGUGCUAUUGGGGUGCUAUCAAUCUUUAGUCUUCCCCCACUGAAAUAAAUGGGGUGGACUAAACAGUGCCACACCAGUAUAAUGCAAUAUAGUUUUAUAGCAUAAAGCAGAAUCUAUACAACAUCAAAAUGACAAUAAAGUUGAAUCAACACCUCUCUAAAGCCGUCUCAACAAAAACUCAAUAUGAUUAACCCUCAUGAAGGUAGAUUUAUUGUUAAUAAACUGCAUUUGAUUUAGCUAGGUGGACCCAAUAAACUGGCAUUUGAGUGUAUGUUGAUCAGAUCUAUUUCUGAUAUUUUUAUGUGUUCUUUUUUGGAAUUAUUGAUAUGUAUCAGAUAUGUAUUUAUUAUGUAUUUGUAACUUGGAAAACAUGCUUCUUUAUUCCCAUUGAAGCAUGUAGCCAUUUGAUGUGUUUCUGCUAACACCAGCAACAUUAAAUUUAUGUAUUCCUUUUCACAUAGUGUGUAGUGUUAUUUUUAUAUUGUAUUCUUAAACAUGCACAGAGAGUGAAGCACCGGAUUCAGUUUAGGGGACCGGUCCUCCAAAACCCACAUUAAUAAUUUGAAUAUGUUGUUGUUUUUGUUUUAUCUUGUUUAAAGGCAACUU